rnacentral:rRNA from 1 species
GACGAACGCUGGCGGCGUGCUUAACACAUGCAAGUCGAACGAAGAGCGACGGAAGCUUGCUUCUAUCAAUCUUAGUGGCGAACGGGUGAGUAACGCGUAAUCAACCUGCCCUUCAGGGGGGGACAACAGUUGGAAACGACUGCUAAUACCGCAUACGAUCUAACCUCGGCAUCGAGGAUAGAUGAAAGGUGGCCUCUACAUGUAAGCUAUCACUGAAGGAGGGGAUUGCGUCUGAUUAGCUAGUUGGAGGGGUAACGGCCCACCAAGGCGAUGAUCAGUAGCCGGUCUGAGAGGAUGAACGGCCACAUUGGGACUGAGACACGGCCCAGACUCCUACGGGAGGCAGCAGUGGGGAAUCUUCCGCAAUGGACGAAAGUCUGACGGAGCAACGCCGCGUGAGUGAUGACGGCCUUCGGGUUGUAAAGCUCUGUUAAUCGGGACGAAAGGCCUUCUUGCGAAUAGGGAGAAGGAUUGACGGUACCGGAAGAGAAAGCCACGGCUAACUACGUG